rnacentral:rRNA from 1 species
UGGAUGUACGGAUAUUGGGCGUAAGAGCUCGUAGGCGGUUUGUCGCGUCUGCUGUGAAAGACCGGGGCUCAACUCCGGUUCUGCAGUGGGUACGGGCAGACUAGAGUGAUGUAGGGGAGACUGGAAUUCCUGGUGUAGCGGUGAAAUGCGCAGAUAUCAGGAGGAACACCGAUGGCGAAGGCAGGUCUCUGGGCAUUAACUGACGCUGAGGAGCGAAAGCAUGGGGAGCGAACAGGAUUAGAUACCCUGGUAGUCCAUGCCGUAAACGUUGGGCACUAGGUGUGGGGGACAUUCCACGUUUUCCGCGCCGUAGCUAACGCAUUAAGUGCCCCGCCUGGGGAGUACGGCCGCAAGGCUAAAACUCAAAGGAAUUGACGGGGGCCCGCACAAGCGGCGGAGCAUGCGGAUUAAUUCGAUGCAACGCGAAGAACCUUACCAAGGCUUGACAUGAACCGGUAACGCCUGGAGACAGGUGCCCCGCUUGCGGUCGGUUUACAGGUGGUGCAUGGUUGUCGUCAGCUCGUGUCGUGAGAUGUCGGGUUAAGUCCCGCAACGAGCGCAACCCUCGUUCCAUGUUGCCAGCACGUAGUGGUGGGGACUCAUGGGAGACUGCCGGGGUCAACUCGGAGGAAGGUGGGGACCACGUCAAAUCAUCAUGCCCCUUAUGUCUUGGGCUUCACGCAUGCUUCAAUAGGCCGGUACAAAAGGCUGCGAUACAGUGACGUGGAGCUAAUACCAAAAAAGCCGGCCC